rnacentral:lncRNA from 1 species
GUUGCAAAUGCAAAUAUCAACUGUUAGUAUCAUAGCUUUUGUUUUGAAAGCUACUAUCCAGGUAAGAAAAGUAUUGUCAUAAGCUGCAUUUAAAAUUGAUAUUCACUUGGUCAUUUGUCGAGUGGAUCUAAGUGAAAUCUAUUUUUUUUAUGAGAUUAUUCACUUAGUCAUUUGUCGAGUUGAGCUAAGUGAAAUCUGUUUUUUGUAUAGGAUUAUUCACUUACUCAUUUGUCGAGUUGAAGUGAAAUCUGUUCCUUUAUAUGAGAUAUUGCAGACUUGCAGUUGCAGAUUAUGGAUUUACAUUUUUUUUUGCUUCACUACGUAUUACCCUGAAGCCCCAUCUGCUUGGUUGAUUUUAACCCCAAUAUACAAGGUGGACAUGCAGAUAGAUGGCCAUGUAUCCUCACAGGAGAACAUGGAACCUGGAGCUGGCAAUGGUAAAUUGACCGGAGCCGUCGUCGGCACCGUUGAGCUCUAGACCCAGGUGCACCGAGUACUAUGUUAU